CCAUAAAAGGCCCUUAGAGUUUGAUCCUGGCUCAGGACGAACGCUGGCGGCGUGCCUAACACAUGCAAGUCGAACGAAGCAUGGCGGACGGAACAGCUUGCUGGGAAGACUGCCAUGACUGAGUGGCGGACGGGUGAGUAACGCGUGGGUAACCUGCCCCAUACAGGGGGAUAACAGCCAGAAAUGGCCGCUAACACCGCAUAUGCGCACAGCCCCGCAUGGGGUGGUGCGGAAAACUCCGGUGGUAUGGGAUGGGCCCGCGUCUGAUUAGCCAGUUGGCAGGGUAACGGCCUACCAAAGCGACGAUCAGUAGCCGGCUUGAGAGAGUGGACGGCCACAUUGGGACUGAGACACGGCCCAGACUCCUACGGGAGGCAGCAGUGGGGAAUAUUGCACAAUGGGGGGAACCCUGAUGCAGCGACGCCGCGUGGGUGAAGAAGCGCCUCGGCGCGUAAAGCCCUAUCAGCAGGGAAGAUGGUGACGGUACCUGACUAAGAAGCCCCGGCUAACUACGUGCCAGCAGCCGCGGUAAUACGUAGGGGGCGAGUGUUGUCCGGAUUUAUUGGGUGUAAAGGGAGCGUAGGCGGCAUGGCAAGUCUGGUGUGAAAGCCCGGGGCCCAACCCCGGGACUGCA
rnacentral:rRNA from 1 species